rnacentral:rRNA from 1 species
GGGAUUUGACAUCAUAGUGAAGUUUACAGAGAUGUGAAUGCCUUUCGGGGCACUAUGAC